rnacentral:rRNA from 1 species
UACGGAGGGUGCAAGCGUUAAUCGGAAUUACUGGGCGUAAAGCGCGCGUAGGCGGUUUUUUAAGUCGGAUGUGAAAGCCCCGGGCUCAACCUGGGAACUGCAUCCGAUACAGGAAGACUAGAAUGCGGGAGAGGGAGGUAGAGUUCCAUGUGUAGCAGUGAAAUGCAUAGAUAUAUGGAGGAAUACCAGUGGCGAAGGCGGCCUCCUGGCUCGACAUUGACGCUGAGGUGCGAAAGCGUGGGGAGCAAACGGG